UGCGACGGCCGGGAAUCGAACCCGGAUUAAUUGCUUGGAAGACAGCUAUGCUAACCACGUGCAUUUCCAC